GCGCGUCUCGACCAUGUCUUGGAAAGACAACGACAAUGAACCCUGAGCAAGAAGAGGCAGUACUGCUAGGCUUGUUGGCAAGCACCUUUCAGGCGAUGCAUG
rnacentral:lncRNA from 1 species